rnacentral:rRNA from 1 species
UACGAAGGGGGCUAGCGUUGUUCGGAAUUACUGGGCGUAAAGGGCGCGUAGGCUGUGCUGUAAGUCAGGCGUGAAAUCCCCGGGCUCAACCUGGGAAUUGCGUUUGAUACUGCGGCGCUGGAAUGCAGGAGGGGAUGGCGGAAUUCCCAGUGUAGAGGUGAAAUUCGUAGAUAUUGGGAAGAACACCGGUGGCGAAGGCGGCCAUCUGGCCUGUAAUUGACGCUGAGGCGCGAAAGCGUGGGGAGCAAACAGG